GGAGGUCAAGGGAUGGAGGCGAAACUGCGCGUUCUCGUCCCUGCAGAAACCGGAAUAUCCGAGACACAUGACGAACAUGAAACUUUCUCCUUGUCUCUUGGCUCCCACUCCGCUACACAGAUGAACGGUGUUACCUUCCCUCAUGUUACUUUGCUAAGCCUACUCCUCAGAGCUGGUCCUUUGCAUAACCUCUUCAAAUGCUCUCAACUCUCCCUUGCUCCUACAUAAUGGAGUAAUCAUAAGUGCAAUGAGAAAAGCAUGAGAUUUGAAGUUCCAUAAGUAUUGAGUCUAGGUUCUGGUGGUUAUUAACUCCAUGAUCUUAGGAAAGUAUCUGUCAGUGUUCUGUGUAAAACGGAAAUGCUAAUGUGUAUUUACCAGGACUUUUUCUUGCGAGAGGCAGAUGAAAUGUAUCUCCGUUUCAUGAGUAAGUUCAGAGAAUAUAAGUGACUUGUCCAAGGUCAGCAAGCUAAUGAGUGGGAAAGCUGAGGCUUGAGCCUAGACUGUCAACACCCAGGCCAAAGAUUCAUUGCCUGCUUUUCAUCUUAUGGAGUUAAACCUUGAUACACACUCAGAUCUGCAGUGACUUGACCAGCACUGUGGGUUCAUGCUUUACUGUCUGAUAACGAAUUUUCAUUUAAUUUUAUUUUUUUUCUUAGACAGGGUCUAGCUCUGUCACCUAAACCUGAUGAGGGCUGAGCCUUCAUUUCGCCGUUUUUUGUUUGUUUGUUUUUGUUUUUGAACGAGAUGGACUCUGGCUAUGUUGCCAGACUGGAGUGCAGUGGCAAGUCACAGGAGCCAUCAUAGCGCAUUACAGCCUGGAACUUCUCGUCUUCAGGGAUCCUCCCAAGUAGCUGGGAUUUCAGGCAUGUGCCACCAUACCUGGCUCUAAUUUUGAAUUUGUUUCUUUAAAUUAUUAUUUGUGUUUGCUGAAAUUGUGUGUGUAUUAUUUUUGUGUAUGUGUGUGAGUAGUUAUAUGUUACAUAAAGUAGGUUGUGGGGUUUUUUCCAGUAAUGUUUAGCUAUAAUUGAAGUUUGGGCCGAAAUCUGCUAGUAUUUGUUACUCCUCACCAAAUCCUACCUUAUCUCACAACAAACUGUAAGAUCUUGUGAUAUUUCACUUCCAAUAACCUUACCAGGCAUCAGAGUGGGGUCUCUACUCUGAAAUUAAAUAUCUGCCAUAAGGUAUGUUGAAGACGUUAGUCUCUUUCCCAGGAGGCACAAAGUGCAAGUCUUUUCCUCAUCGCUUGAGCAAAUUAAACCUACCGGACAGUUUACUACAGAACUCAAACACAGCUGGGCGCAGUGGCUCACGCCUGUAAUCCCAGCAAUUUGGGAGGCCGAGGUGGGCGGAUCACCUGAGGUCGGGAGUUCAAGACCAGCCUGACCAACAUGGAGAAACCCCGUCUCCACUAAAAAUACAGAAUUAGCUGGGCAUGGUGCCAUAUGCCUGUAAUCCCAGGUACUCGUGAGGCUGAGGCAGGAGAAUCACUUGAACCCGGGAGGUAGAGGUUGCGGUGAGCCGAGAUCACACCAUUGUACUCCAGCCUGGGCAACAAGAGCAAGAAUUCAUCUCAAAAGAAAAAAAAAAGAACUUAAGCAUAAGCCACAAAUAAGGUUUAUCAUUACCUCAUCAAUGCUUGGAUACUUACAUUUAUCAAGUUAUUACAUUUUGCUGUGUAAAAAAUAUUAUGUAUGGUGAAAGGGGGAUAUAUAU
rnacentral:lncRNA from 1 species